rnacentral:rRNA from 1 species
GAUUAACGCUGGCGGCGUGCCUAACACAUGCAAGUCGAGCGGCAGCGAGUUUUACACUGAAUUCUGGAAGCUUCUAGUUGAAAGAGAAGAUUUAUUCAAGAAUUUUGUGUAAAAUGUCGGCGAGCGGCGGACGGCUGAGUAACGCGUGGGAACGUACCCCAAAGUGAGGGAUAACGCAUCGAAAGGUGUGCUAAUACCGCAUAUGGUCUUCGGAUUAAAGCCUUCGGGCGCUUUGGGAACGGCCUGCGUAAGAUUAGAUAGUUGGUGGGGUAAUGGCCUACCAAGUCGACGAUCUUUAACUGGUUUGAGAGGAUGAUCAGUCAGACUGGAACUGAGACACGGUCCAGACUCCUACGGGAGGCAGCAGUGAGGAAUCUUCCACAAUGGGCGAAAGCCUGAUGGAGCAACGCCACGUGCAGGAUGAAGGCCUUCGGGUUGUAAACUGCUUUUAUAAGUGAGGAUUAUGACAGUAACUUAUGAAUAAGGAUCGGCUAACUACGUG